UUUUUCCUACGGGGGGCAGCAGUGGGGAAUAUUGCACAAUGGGGGAAACCCUGAUGCAGCGACGCCGCGUGAGUGAAGAAGUAUUUCGGUACGUAAAGCUCUAUCAGCAGGGAAGAAAAUGACGGUACCUGACUAAGAAGCCCCGGCUAACUACAUGCCAGCAGCCGCGGUAAUACGUAGGGGGCAAGCGUUAUCCGGAUUUACUGGGUGUAAAGGGAGCGUAGACGGCAGCGCAAGUCUGGAAUGAAAUCCCAUGGCUUAACCAUGGAACUGCUUUGGAAACUGUGCAGCUAGAGUGCAGGAGG
rnacentral:rRNA from 1 species